GUGCUUGCUUCGGCAGCAUGUAUACUAAGUUUAGAACAAUAUGGAGAAGAUUAGCAUGGCUACUGUGCAAGGAUGACACACAAAUUUGUGAAAUAUUCCAUAUUUUU
ensembl:snRNA U6 U6 spliceosomal RNA